ensembl:snoRNA
AGCCACCACACCCGGCCGGGCUGUAUUCUUACACUGACUGUAUAGAAAGAGGAGACAGAGUAAACCUACCCCAUAUAUACUUCAGCCCACGCCCUGUGCCUGUUCUAUAUUAUGAAGCGGGGUUGG